rnacentral:rRNA from 1 species
GACGAACGCUGGCGGCGUGCUUAACACAUGCAAGUCGAACGAAGUGGCGAACGGGUGAGUAAAGCGUAAUCAACCUGCCCUUCAGAGGGGGACAACAGGUGGAAACGACUGCUAAUACCGCAUACUGAAGGACGGUGUUGCGUCGGAUUAGCUAGUGGGAGGGGUAAAGUCCCCCCAAGGCGAUGAUCAGUAGCCGGUCUGAGCGGAUGAACGGCCACAAUGGGACUGAGACACGGCCCAGACGCCUAAGGGAGGCAGCAGUGGGGAAUCUUCCGCAAUGGACGAAAGUCUGACUGAGCAACGCCGCGGGAGUGAUGACGGCCUUCGGGUUGUAAAGCUCUGUUAAGCGGGACGCGGUACCGGAAUAGAAAGCCACGGCUAACUACGUGCCAGCAGCCGCGGUAAUAC